CCUACGGGUGGCAGCAGUCGAGAAUCAUUCACAAUGGGGGAAACCCUGAUGGUGCGACGCCGCGUGGGGGAAUGAAGGUCUUCGGAUUGUAAACUCCUGUCAUGUGGGAGCAAAUUAAAAAGAUAGUACCACAAGAGGAAGAGACGGCUAACUCUGUGCCAGCAGCCGCGGUAAUACAGAGGACUCAAGCGUUGUUCGGAAUCACUGGGCGUAAAGGGUGCGUAGGCUGAUUGGUAAGUCGUGUGUGAAAGGCGCGGGCUCAACCCGCGGACGGCACAUGAUACUGCGAGACUAGAGUAAUGGAGGGGGAACCGGAAUUCUCGGUGUAGCAGUGAAAUGCGUAGAUAUCAGGAGGAACACUCGUGGCGAAGGCGGGUUCCUGGACAUUAACUGACGCUGAGGCACGAAGGCGAGGGGAGCGAAAGGGAUUAGAUACCCUGGUAGUC
rnacentral:rRNA from 1 species